rnacentral:rRNA from 1 species
AUGAACGCUGGCGGCGUGCCUAAUACAUGCCAGUCGAGCGAACAGACGAGGAGCUUGCUCCUCCGACGUUAGCGGCGGACGGGUGAGUAACACGUGGAUAACCUACCUAUAAGACUGGGAUAACUUCGGGAAACCGGAGCUAAUACCGGAUAAUAUAUUGAACCGCAUGGUUCAAUAGUGAAAGACGGUUUUGCUGUCACUUAUAGAUGGAUCCGCGCCGCAUUAGCUAGUUGGUAAGGUAACGGCUUACCAAGGCAACGAUGCGUAGCCGACCUGAGAGGGUGAUCGGCCACACUGGAACUGAGACACGGUCCAGACUCCUACGGGAGGCAGCAGUAGGGAAUCUUCCGCAAUGGGCGAAAGCCUGACGGAGCAACGCCGCGUGAGUGAUGAAGGUCUUCGGAUCGUAAAACUCUGUUAUUAGGGAAGAACAAAUGUGUAAGUAACUAUGCACGUCUUGACGGUACCUAAUCAGAAAGCCACGGCUAACUACGUG